rnacentral:sRNA from 1 species
UUUCCCUCUGCGUUCGCUGCGCGCUGCUGGAGGCUGUGGUCGCAAUGCUCCCCAAACGGCGGCGAGGGCGGAUCGAGUCCCCUAGCGGCGAUGCCGUUUCCUCCACGCCGCCCUCGACGCGCUUCCCCGGAGUCGCCAUCUACCUGGUCGAGCCUCGCAUGGGUCGCAGCCGCCGGGCCUUCCUCACACGCCUGGCGCGCUCCAAAGGCUUCCGCGUCCUUGACGCCUGCAGCUCCGAAGCAACACAUGUUGUGAUGGAAGAGACCUCAGCAGAGGAGGCCGUCAGCUGGCAGGAGCGCAGGAUGGCAGCUGCUCCCCCGGGUUGCACCCCCCCAGCUCUGCUGGACAUAAGCUGGUUAACAGAGAGCCUGGGAGCUGGGCAGCCUGUACCUGUGGAGUGCCGGCACCGCCUGGAGGUGGCUGGGCCAAGGAAGGGGCCUCUGAGCCCAGCAUGGAUGCCUGCCUAUGCCUGCCAGCGCCCCACGCCCCUCACGCACCACAACACUGGCCUCUCAGUAAGCCGCUUCUAUGAGCCUUGGCCAGCCCUGGGGGUUGGGGACA